rnacentral:rRNA from 1 species
GGAUAAUCAUUAGUCUUAAUAAUUUAAGGCCUGAAAUGAAGGGAUAAACUUAGAGAGCUGUUUCUUAGCCUUUUUCUUUUUAAAUUUUACUUUUAAGUAAAAAGGCUAAAAUGUUUCUUUUAGACAAGAAGACCCUAUAAAGCUUUACAUAAAAUAAUUUAAUAGAUUAAGAAUAUGUUUCACUGGGGCGGUGGAAGGAUAAACACCUUUACAAUAUUAAAAUAUCGUCAUUUUAAUACCCCAAAAAUUUUGAAGCUUAAAUAAGUUACUUUAGGGAUAACAGCGUAAUAUAUUUUGAAAGUUCAAAUUGACAAAUAUGUUUGCGACCUCGAUGUUGGAUUAGAUUUCCACUAUUCCGCAAGAGGAAUAAAAAGGGUCUGUCGACCCAAAAAUCACCA